UGACCUCGGAUCAGACGCGAAUACCCGCUGAAUUUAAGCAUA
rnacentral:rRNA from 1 species